rnacentral:ncRNA from 1 species
GGGUGUCUGCUGCAUUCUGCGGCAGGCAGGUUCAUGCGUCGGUCGGGCCGCCACG